rnacentral:rRNA from 1 species
GACGAACGCUGGCGGCGUGCUUUCUUUUUGCAAGUCGAACGAUGAAGUUCCUUCGGGAAUGGAUUAGUGGCGAACGGGUGAGGAACACGUGAGAAACCUGCCUUUCAUUCUGGAAUAACACCGGGAAACCGGUGCUAAUACCGGAUACUCCGUCUUGGCGGCAUCGCCGAGCCGGGAAAAAAUUUUGAUGAAAGAUGGUCUCGCGGCCUAUCAGCUAGUUGGUGAGGUAAUGGCUCACCAAGGCGACGACGGGUAGCCGGCCUGAGAGGGCGACCGGCCACACUGGGACUGAGACACGGCCCAAACUCCUACGGGAGGCAGCAGUAGGGAAUAUUGGGCAAUGGGCGCAAGCCUGACCCAGCGACGCCGCGUGAGGGAUGAAGGUCUUCGGAUUGUAAACCUCUUUCAGUAGGGAAGAAGCGAAAGUGACGGUACCUAAAGAAGAAGCACCGGCUAACUAUGUG